UACGGGGGGGGCAAGCGUUGUUCGGAAUUACUGGGCGUAAAGGGCUCGUAGGCGGCCAACUAAGUCGGAUGUGAAAUCCCCAGGCUUAACCUGGGAACUGCAUCCGAUACUGGAUGGCUUGAAUCCGGGAGAGGGAUGCAGAAUUCCAGGUGUAGCGGUGAAAUGCGUAGAUAUGUGGAGGAAUACCAGUGGCGAAGGCGCCUUGCUGGACAGUUACUGACGCUGAGGCACGAAAGCGUGGGGAGCAAACAGG
rnacentral:rRNA from 1 species